rnacentral:lncRNA from 1 species
UGUCACAGUGUCUAAGUACAAAUAAAGAGAUCUCACAAGAUACCUGUUUCAGAGCACUUCCUGGAGGGUUCAUCCAAACAGAGCUUCAGGAGAAAGAGGAAUAUAAGAAGCUGAAAGACAAGAUCAAAAUGUUAGAGUCAAGGUAUUGAGAAUAUCUUUCAAUCCAUCGGUGGCCCUACAAUUUAAUGCAGAUGUGGUUUCAGCACAUGGUUUCCACACUAUGCCUCUUGUUUCACUGUGAUUGCUGCUGUAAUCAGCUGUUGUCUUUGCGCUGCAGAAGCUGUUUGAUGCCUGUGAGAAAGAUAUACAGCAGAGAGCAACUAACACGUUCACAGUUCUUGACAUUCCACCUUUGAAUGAUGCCAUGACCAACACAGAACAGCAAGCUGGUGUUGACUCAAAAAAUUCCAUUCAAAGACAGUUCAUACUGCAGUGCUGCAGAAUUUAUUGUCUGCUGCUUCUUCAGGACCCACCGGUUAAAGCUGUGUGGAACCUACAGGAAAGCUUGACACAAUGCCUAGAGCACGUGGACAAGAAAGACUGGGAGCACUGGAGGAAAUCAGCACUUCUGUGGCCCAUAAUGAAAUGUGGGGAAGAAGUCAUUGUGAAAGGUGUAGUCUGGGAUGAAAAGUAGCUUGACUUCAGAGCCAAGCUACUCAUUCAUAUGGCCACAAGAAGAUGAAAGAGGUGCUGUGCAAUAUGCUGUUUUUCUUUCUCCCAUGAACUGCCAGCUUUUCAGUGCUAGUAAGUUAGAUGCUUCUGGCUUGGGAUGUCUAGAAUAAAUUAUUAUUUACAAACAUGUAUUAAAAAUUGAGGGUAUUUGCCUCAGUAACAUGUGUAUUUUAUGUAACAUCUGUGUUUCUAGCCUAGGAUCUCACCCUGUGAAGGCACUUGUCUCCUCACCAACAACAUGUAGUAGGACUAAUGCUUUGUGGGACCCCUAACAGCAGUGAUACCUCUGCCCUCCCCUGUGUCUGUGCACAAACUGCAGGGUCGUGCUUUCUGCUAAUGAAUAAGCAGCAAGCAUGAAGGUGGCCCGUUGGGAAACAGGCAUCCUUCUAGGGUAAUAAUGUACUUACCUGAGAAAAAAAUCAAGACGCUAAAAGACAAGGCUCACAAAGGUUGCAACAGGCUCUCAGAAGACAGGUGUGCAAUAGGUCCAUGUACACAGACACUAAGGCCCACCCUUAGGAGGCAAAAGGCCACUUAUCUCCACACAAAUGCCGCCUUCCUGUUAGUACUCAGCUGCUUUCCCAUUUCUGCACAAUUUACUGCUCCACAGCUCUUGAUCCAAGUGGUCUAAAAGUUGUAUUUCACAGGGUAAGCGGGAUGCAAUGAGGCAAAUGCAUGUUUAUGUGCUUGUGUGACAAAAUACUCAGUGAAAAUCUUGAGAUUUGCCAAAUAAAAAAGACUGG